UAAAUACCGCCACCGGGUGGUAUAAUGUUCAAGCAUUUGGAAAUACAUCGUUAGGUCUUAGAAGAUGUGUUUACGGAUGCUUUCUUUUU
rnacentral:ncRNA from 1 species